UGUCCAGGGAUGAUGGGAAUCGAACCCACAGUGUUCCGCUUACCGGGCAGAUGCCAUGUCCACUAGGCUACCCUGGAC